UGAGAGACCUGCCCUGUGAAAAGCAGAGACCACGAUUGGGAGCGUCUCCAGGCGCUGCGGACACACUGGCCGAGGCGCUGGUCAGCUUCCUGGAAAAACUGGGGUCCGUCCAGAUAUCCUUCAGUGAAUAAAUGUUGGUUACAUGCACACCAUGGAAUAUUCCUCAGCAAUGAAAAGGAGCAAACUAUUGAUACAGGCAACAACUUGGAUGAAUCUCCAGAGCAAUAAAUAGGCUGAGUGAAAAACAGCCAGUCCCCUA